UACGUAGGGUGCGAGCGUUGUCCGGAAUUAUUGGGCGUAAAGGGCUCGUAGGCGGUUUGUUGCGUCGGCUGUGAAAUCCCGAGGCUCAACCUCGGGUCUGCAGUCGAUACGAGCAAACUAGAGUGUUGCAGGGGAGACUGGAAUUCCUGGUGUAGCGGUGAAAUGCGUAGAUAUCUGGAGGAACACCGGUGGCGAAGGCGGCAUCCUGGACCAACACUGACGCUGAGGAGCGAAAGCCAGGGGAGCAAACGGG
rnacentral:rRNA from 1 species